AGACCCGAAACCCGGUGAUCUAGCCAUGGGCAGGUUGAAGGUUGGGUAACACUAACUGGAGGACCGAACCGACUAAUGUUGAAAAAUUAGCGGAUGACCUGUGGCUGGGGGUGAAAGGCCAAUCAAACCGGGAGAUAGCUGGUUCUCCCCGAAAGCUAUUUAGGUAGCGCCUCGUGAAUUCAUCUCCGGGGGUAGAGCACUGUUUCGGCUAGGGGGCCAUCCCGGCUUACCAACCCGAUGCAAACUGCGAAUACCGGAGAAUGUUAUCACGGGAGACACACGGCGGGUGCUAACGUCCGUCGUGAAGAGGGAAACAACCCAGACCGCCAGCUAAGGUCCCAAAGUCAUGGUUAAGUGGGAAACGAUGUGGGAAGGCCCAGACAGCCAGGAUGUUGGCUUAGAAGCAGCCAUCAUUUAAAGAAAGCGUAAUAGCUCACUGGUCGAGUCGGCCUGCGCGGAAGAUGUAACGGGGCUAAACCAUGCACCGAAGCUGCGGCAGCGAACGUAUCACUUAAAGCGAUUCAGCGGGUUACGAUUGACGGAGCGAAGCGACGUCAAAGCGUAUACAAAGUCGAGUCGGUUUAAGGAUACGUUCGUUGGGUAGGGGAGCGUUCUGUAAGCCUGUGAAGGUGGCCUGUGAGGGUUGCUGGAGGUAUCAGAAGUGCGAAUGCUGACAUAAGUAACGAUAAAGCGGGUGAAAAGCCCGCUCGCCGGAAGACCAAGGGUUCCUGUCCAACGUUAAUCGGGGCAGGGUGA
rnacentral:rRNA from 1 species